rnacentral:rRNA from 1 species
UACGAAGGGGGCUAGCGUUGUUCGGAAUUACUGGGCGUAAAGCGCACGUAGGCGGACAUUUAAGUCAGGGGUGAAAUCCCAGAGCUCAACUCUGGAACUGCCUUUGAUACUGGGUGUCUUGAGUAUGGAAGAGGUGAGUGGAAUUCCGAGUGUAGAGGUGAAAUUCGUAGAUAUUCGGAGGAACACCAGUGGCGAAGGCGGCUACU